rnacentral:rRNA from 1 species
UACGGGGGGGCAAGCGUUGUUCGGAAUUACUGGGCGUAAAGGGCUCGUAGGCGGCCAACUAAGUCGGACGUGAAAUCCCUCGGCUUAACCGGGGAACUGCGUCCGAUACUGGAUGGCUUGAGUUCGGGAGAGGGAUGCGGAAUUCCAGGUGUAGCGGUGAAAUGCGUGGAUAUCUGGAGGAACACCGGUGGCGAAGGCGGCAUCCUGGACCGACACUGACGCUGAGGAGCGAAAGCCAGGGGAGCAAACGGGG